ACGACCAUAGGGUGUGGAAAACAGGGCUUCCCGUCCGCUCAGCCGUUCUUAAGCCACACGCCGGCCGGUUAGUAGUUGGGUGGGUGACCACCAGCGAAUCCCGGCUGUUGUAUGUU
rnacentral:rRNA from 1 species